UCUUCUACCUCCUCCUUCCCCUCUUCCUACUCUUCUUCAUCUUUUCAUUCUUUGUUGAGCCUCCAGGGCCCUUCUAUCUUGCAUCACCUCUGCCCUCUCAAGGCAUGCAAUAUCCUGUAGCUCAUACUUCCUUUAGUUCAGCUGCCUUCUCUUCACAUGGUGCUCUAUCUUGGGCUGUCUGCUCAGACCACAUCUCACCCAAUUUCCUUGCUACAUUCCCAGUGGACAAGCCCCGUGAUUCACUCUUGAUCUUUGGACAGUAUUCUGAAUGAAGCAGGAAGAAAGCAAGCAGAAGUCUUUUGCAUGAAGGUCCUCUCCAAGAACUCAGCAAAGCUGACUGGAAUCCAGGCAUUUCUUUCUGUUCUCUUGGAAGUCUGCAGGAAGACAGCUCCUGGGCCUUUUCUUCCUCCAGCCAACCCAGUCUCCUUCACCCAAGGUGACCCAUGGCGUGCGGGGAGAAGGGGGGCUCUAUCUGAGUGGGCUUUUUCCUGAGUCCAAACCAGAUGCUUCCUUCUCCAUACGAUUGUCAGCUGGCUUCACUUUUCAUACUAUUUUAAGCUUUAAUUAUUUUUCUCUCCUUGCGGAGCAACAAUUGUGGUAAUAAAACAAGAUACCAACUCUUAUCUCAGGUUAGUAAUAAAGUUGUUGCCUACUAUCUAGAAAUGUACCUGCCUUUUCUUAUUUCUUUCCUUUUCUCUUUUCUUUUCCUUUCCUUUUCCUUUCCUUUCCUUUCAUUUCCUUUCCUUUCUUUUCCUUUCCUUUUUGUUUCUUUCCUUUCUGUAUAAUGUGGCAUUUUACAGGUUGGGAUGUAGCACCGUUGGUGGAGUGUUUACUUAGCUAGUAUAUACAAAGCCCUUGUUUCAAUCCCUAGCACUGUGUAAGGUAGGUAUGGUGACUCAUGUCUGUAAUCUCAAAACUCUACAGGUAGACAUGUGGGAAGCAGAAAUUCAUCCUCAGCAUACAGUGAGGUUCAACUUGGCCUGACCAAGAGAAAAAAGGGGGAAAAAGGUGAUGUCUUUUCUUUCUCUCUCUCUCUCUCUCUCUCUCUCUCUCUCUCUCUCUCUCUCUCUCUGUCUCUCUCCCUCUCCCUCCAUCUCCCCCCCUCUCUCUAUUUGUCCUAAUUCUUUUGGUAGAGAGAAGGAAAGAGAUGAACAUGUAUUGAGUUCUCUGGUAUCUACCAAAUUUGUAUAUUACUUGUUGGUUAAUAUUAUAACAAACAUUAAAUUGUAUUCAGAA